AUGCAGCUGACGAGUUUCAAAUAGGACGAAACGCGCGUCCUGGAU
rfam:Schistosoma mansoni, Puerto Rico, WGS project CABG01000000 data, contig: 0169